UACAGAGGGUGCAAGCGUUAAUCGGAAUUACUGGGCGUAAAGCGUGCGUAGACGGUCAUGUAAGUCGGGUGUGAAAGCCCCGGGCUCAACCUGGGAAUUGCAUUCGAGACUGCAUGGCUAGGGUGCGGAAGAGGGAAGCGGAAUUUCCGGUGUAGCGGUGAAAUGCGUAGAUAUCAGGAGGAACACCGGUGGCGAAGGCGGAUCUCUGGGCCAUUACUGACGCUGAGGAGCGAAAGCGUGGGGAGCGAACAGG
rnacentral:rRNA from 1 species